GCGCCUGUGGCCUAAUGGAUAAGGCGCCUGACUUCUAAUCAGGCGAUUGUGGGUUCGAGGUCCCACCGGGCGUG
rnacentral:tRNA from 1 species